ensembl:lncRNA
GAGAGAGAGGAGAGAGCACAGUGAGGAGAGAGAGGAGAGAAAUGAGAGAGAGGAGAGAGAGGAGAGUGAGGAGAGAGGAGAGAGAAGAGAGAUGAGAGAGAGGAGAAUGAGAGAGAGGAGAGUGAGUAGAAUGUGUAGAGUAAGGAGAAAGAGGAGAGAGAGAAGAGAGAGGAGAGUGAGGAGAAUGAGGAGAGCGAGGAGAGAGAGGAGAGAGCCCAGUGAGGAGAGAGAGGAGAGAGCACAGUGAGGAGAGAGAGGAGAGAGGAGAAAGAAGAGGGAGAGGAGAGUGGGUAGAGAGGAGAGAGGAGAGAGAAGAGAGAGGAGAGAGAGGAGAGCGAGGAGAGAGAAGAGAGGAGAGAAAGGAAAGAGGAGAGGGGAAAGAGAGGAUAGAGGAGAGUGAGGAGAGCGAGGAGAGAGGAUAUCAAAUCAAAUCAAAUGUAUUUAUAUAGCCCUUCGUACAUCAGCUGAUAUCUCAAAGUGCUGUACAGAUACCCAGCCUAAAACCUCAAACAGCAAGCAAUGCAGGUGUUGAAGCAUGUUGGCUAGGAAAAACUCCAUAGAAAGGCCAAAACCGAGGAAGAAACCUAGAGAGGAACCAGGCUAUGAUGGGUGGCCAGUCCUCUUCUGGCUGUGCCGGGUGGAGAUUAUAACAGAACAUGGCCAAGAUGUUCAAAUGUUCAUAAAUGACCAGCAUUGUCAAAUAAAAGGUCUAGGACAGGUAGCACGUCCGGUGAACAGGUCAGGAUUCCAUAGCCGCAGGCAGAACAGUUGAAACUGGAGCAGCAGCAGGGCCAGGUGGUCUGGGGACAGCAAGGAGUCACCAUGCCAGGUAGUCCUGAGGCAUGGUCCUAGGGCUCAGGUUCUCAGAGAGAGAGAAAGAAAGAGAGAAAGAGAGAAUUAGAGAGAGCAUACUUAAAUUCACACAGGACACCGGAUAAGACAGGAGAAGUACUCCAGAUAUAACAAACUGACGCUAGCCCCCCGACACAAACUACUGCAGCAUAAAUACUGGAGGCUGAGACAGGAGGGGUCAGGAGACACUGUGGCCCCAUCCGAUGAUACCCCCAGACAGGGCCAAACAGGAAGGAUAUAAUCCCACCCACUUUGCCAUAGCACAGCCCCCACACCACUAGAGGGAUAUCUUCAACCAACAACUUACCAUCCUAAGACAAGGCCGGGUAUAGCCCACAAAGAUCUAUGCCAUGGCACAACCCAAGGGGGGGUGCCAACCCAGACAGGAAAUCACAUCAGUGACUCAACACACUCAAGUGACGCACCCCUCCUAGGGACGGCAUGAAAGAGCACCAAUAAGCCAGUGACUCAGCCCCUGUAAUAGGGUUAGAGGCAGAAGAGAGGAGAGUGAGGAGAAAGAAAAGAGGAGAGAGGAAAGAGGAGAUAGAGGAGAGUGAAAACAGUGAGGAGAGAGAGGAGAGAGGAGAGAGAAGAGAGAGGAGAGAGGAGAGAGAAGAGAGGAGAGUGAGUAGAGUGAGUAGAGUAAGGAGAGAGAGAAGGGAGAGGAGAGCGAGGAGAGAGAGGAGAGAAAUGAGAGAGAGGAGAGAGAGGAGAGAGGGAAGAGAAGAUAGAGGAGAGAGAGGAGAGUGAGUAGAGUGAGUAGAGUAAGGAGAAAGAGGAGAGAGAGAAGAGAGAGGAGAGUGAGGAGAGUGAGGAGAGAGAGGAGAGUGAAUACAGUGAGGAGAAAGAGGAGAGAAAUGAGAGAGAGGAGAGAGAGGAGAGUGAAGAGAAAGAAAAGAGGAGAGAGGAAAGAUGAGAUAGAGGAGAG